rnacentral:rRNA from 1 species
GAUGAACGCUGGCGGCGUGCCUAAUACAUGCAAGUCGAGCGAACAGACGAGGAGCUUGCUCCUCUGACGUUAGCGGCGGACGGGUGAGUAACACGUGGAUAACCUACCUAUCAGACUGGGAUAACUUCGGGAAACCGGAGCUAAUACCGGAUAAUAUCUUGAACCGCAUGGUUCAAUAGUGAAAGACGGUUUUGCUGUCACUUAUAGCUGGAUCCGCGCCGCAUUAGCUAGUUGGUAAGGUAACGGCUUACCAAGGCGACGAUGCGUAGCCGACCUGAGAGGGUGAUCGGCCACACUGGAACUGAGACACGGUCCAGACUCCUACGGGAGGCAGCAGUAGGGAAUCUGCCGCAAUGGGCGAAAGCCUGACGGAGCAACGCCGCGUGAGUGAUGAAGGUCUUCGGAGCGUAAAACUCUGUUAUUAGGGAAGAACAAAUGUGUAAGUAACUAUGCACGUCUUGACGGUACCUAAUCAGAAAGCCACGGCUAACUACGUG